rnacentral:misc_RNA from 1 species
UAGAAUGCGAUAUGCAAUGUGAAUUGCAGAACUACGAAUCAUUUGAUCUUUGAACGCAAAUGGCGCUGAUUCAUGUCAGCAUACUUGUUUCAGUGUGCCUAACCAAAUAAGAAUCAAGAUGUAAGAGAAAAUUCUCUUAUGAAGUAAAUGCUCCAAGUAGCAGUCACAUUUAUUUGUGAGCUGGUUGGAUUUAUAACUUUGUCUUAUUCGCACCUGAAAUCAAGUAAGAUCACCCGCUGGACUUAA